AAAAAGAAUGCUGACUGUCCAGUAGAAAGGUCAGCAGGCAAUGAGGCAGCAUGGUACCAUUCAAGAAGCACCAGCCUAGGAGACAGAGGACAAGGGACAAGGAAUUUUGCCUUUAUUGCUGCAAGAUAUUGGAAAUUCAUUCAAGGUUUUGGCUUUUUAUGAAUCUGAAUUUGUGGCACCAGAUCUAACUAGAGGAUUUAAUAAAGAGCAAGAGAGACAGCGCAAGCAGGGAAGAGGGACAGAGGAAGAG